rnacentral:rRNA from 1 species
GUACAGAGGUCCCAAGCGUUGUUCGGAUUCAUUGGGCGUAAAGGGUGCGUAGGCGGCGCGGUAAGUCGGGUGUGAAAUCUCGGAGCUUAACUCCGAAACUGCAUUCGAUACUGCCGUGCUUGAGGACUGGAGAGGAGACUGGAAUUUACGGUGUAGCGGUGAAAUGCGUAGAUAUCGUAAGGAAGACCAGUGGCGAAGGCGGGUCUCUGGACAGUUCCUGACGCUGAGGCACGAAGGCCAGGGGAGCAAACGGG